rnacentral:sRNA from 2 species
ACUCAACGCGAAUUCUUUAAAGAGGGUGAGUCUAGGUUGUAAAAGCGUGCCGUGUCCUCUCACGAGGAGAGCGGAUUCUUGAUCAAUCUGUUAGCCCUAAACUUGAUUUUAAGGAGUUU